CGCUCACAAACACCGGGGACCCUUUAAGGCCAAAUUAUUCAGUCAUCAAUAACUCUUCGCCAGAUGUUACAACGUAUAACUGUAUGUGAGUAGAUUAGCAUGAAGCGUAAACAGCUGGGCGUGUUGCUGAGUAAAGAGUUUAAUUACAAAUAAAUACACAGCCCCUCCCAGCAGACUAGAGGGGAUGCAAAUAUAGCCCACUGCCAGCUGCCUCUGAGCACACGGGCUCAUUGCUUGACAUUAGGAACAAAUAGAGUUUACACACGACACGGUCGGCUAUGAUUAUAAACCUCUAUGAAGUUACAUAACAGCAUUUAAUCUGACUGUUUUAUCCCAUUCAGUUUAACCAAGCUGCAGUAAUGCUUAAUGCAAAGAAGAAACAUUUUACAGAAAUUCAACUGAUUUUUUUUCCCCCGUGCCUUUAAAUUCAUCAUAGGCUUUAUCGGUCGCAGUGUGAGAGGAAGUAGCUGAGUCGGAGCGUGUAGAGUUUCGGUGUGUUUACGUGUGUAAUCCCGAAAGGUGCCAGCAAGUGGCAGAGGGCACUCGGGGGGGAGCAGAGGGCAGCGCUGAUGGGUUAAAACCAAAAUUCUUUAAUGCUUUCACUUUCCGACGGAAUUAAGGCCGGAAGCUCGAAUCUUUGCCUCCCUGCUGAGUUUGAAGCAGAGGCGUCGCUCUGGUUCGAGCGCCGAGAACCUUCUCUCAAGUCUGCGAACUGUUGAUGAAAGCAGACCCGAGGAGCCGUUUGCCCACUUUUCAGCUCAUCUCACGAACUUCAAAGUGUUACUGAUGCCGCAAGGAGGAACACAUAAGACACGGAACACACGGUUUUAGCCUGAGCAGAAGAGAUGGAACUUUACAAAAGCGGGUUUGUCAUCACGGAGGACAAGAAUCGAUUCUGCUGAAUGACAUGGUAACUGUCCCUGGUGAACUGAAGAAGCUGAAACACGUCUCUGCUACCGUUUUACCAAUACACCAGAAAA